AUACGGAGGGUGCGAGCGUUAAUCGGAAUUACUGGGCGUAAAGCGCGCGCAGGCGGCUAUUUAAGUUGGAGGUGAAAGCCUACGGCUCAACCGUAGAACUGCAUCCAAAACUAUUUAGCUAGAGUGUGAGAGAGGAAGAUGGAAUUAGUUGUGUAGGGGUAAAAUCCGUAGAGAUAACUAGGAAUACCAAAAGCGAAGGCAAUCUUCUGGAACACUACUGACGCUGAGGCGCGAAAGCGUGGGGAGCAAACAGAAUUAGAUACCCUAGUAGUCC
rnacentral:rRNA from 1 species